rnacentral:lncRNA from 1 species
AGAAUGAUCUCAAAGAAUUUCACUCCUUGGUCGAGCUGUGCAAUCCAGGCGUUCUUGGGAGCCAAGUACUAUUUCGUCGCGUUUAUGAACAACCUAUUAUCCAAGGACAACAACCUAAUGCAACAAGUGAAGAAAAAGAACUCGGGCAAACCAGAGCAUCGGAGCUCAACCGGUUAACAAGCCAGUUUUUCUUGAGGAGAACAUCAGAGAUUAACAACAAGUAUUUACCGUCUAAAG